rnacentral:lncRNA from 1 species
UCAGACUGCCAAAGUUUAAAUCCAAACUUCCACAUUUGCUAGUUGUGUUGCUUUGGGCAGAUUACUUAACCUCUCUGUGUCUCAAAUCACUGUCUCUAAGAAGAGGAUAACAGUAAGAGUGAUCUCUUAAGGUUGUUGUGAGAAUUACAUAUCUGUAAUAAUGCCUGGCUACAUUGUGGGUCCUUGAUGAAUUUUAUUUAAUACCAUGCCAAUACUAUGCCAGCCAGGGAGGGAAAGAUUUGCAGUGAAGUGAUCAUUUUGCCCUCUAUAUCACACUCUAAAAUCUUGCUGAGUUUAUUGUCACCUAAAACAUUCUGUAUUUUUCAAGUAACUUGCAGAAGCAUCUUUGUUUAUUGAGCCAAUAAUUUUUAUUGCCCAUCUUCAUUAUAAAAGAAUGGCCUAGACAGUAACCACUUAUAUUUUGUCUUACAAAGGAUAUUUACAAAUUUAAAGCUAAAAUUUACAAAUGUUUUCCCAUGUGUCAGGCAUUGUUCCAUAGGUGUUUCAUGUGAUCUUCAUGACAACUUCACAAACUGCAAGAAUGGAUAAUCAGGUCUGAUCUAGUAACCAAAAGCUAUGCAAGUACUGAGAAAAUUCUGUGUUAUCUGAAAACACCAGCAGCAAAGAGAGAAUUGGUGUCUGAUCUCACAGAUCUUAUUUUCUACUAUCUGGUUCUUCGACUGGAGAGUCAUAAGAACUCUUUAGUCAUCCAACACCUUCAUUUUAUGGUGCACUAUGAUUAUCCAUGGAGAGAUCAUGAAUAUGCAGUGGCAUCUUUUGGGUGGAACACCUCUCCAAAAGUCAGUAAUCAUUAACAGAAAGCUGUAGAAGCUUGGCUGACCCAGGACCAAGAAAUGCUGCAGCCGCUUCACCGGAACCACAAGAAUGAGAAACACAAGCAAAGUUUACAGCACCUAAUGUCCUCUUUGUAAGUCUCCUAAGGCAACAAUUAUCUGUGUGUGCACACAUAUACACACUCAACAUACCAAGGGCUAAAGUGUAGAUAAACAGAGUUUCAUAAAAAUUCCUCCAGUAAUGUGAUCAAAACCAUUCUCUUUCCCAAAAAAGCAAGACGGAAUUCAUAUGAGUGAAUGAUGUUAUAGUAAGAAUAAUCUUGAAUCUACUCUAACAUAUUUUAAGCAAGUUACCUGUGACAUACCUCACAAGAUGUAACAGCACAUCAAGCGUGCUGAGAGCUCAAUUGUGAAUUUCUACUUUAAAGACCACUUAUCACUUUUCCUUCCCCAUCAACUCUUCAAUUUCCUUGUUUUCUUCACACCCAUGUCCUGCCUCUGCAGAUGAUUCUCUGUGUCCUAAUUAUCAUGGGAUAAAGA